rnacentral:rRNA from 1 species
GAUGAACGCUGGCGGCGUGCCUAAUACAUGCAAGUCGAGCGAACAGACGAGUAUCUUGCUCUUCUCACGUUAGCGGCGGAUGGGUGAGUAACACGUGGACAACCCACCUAUAUGACUGGGAUAACUUCGGGAAACCGGAGCUAAUACCGGAUAAUAUAUUGAACCGCAUGGGUCAAUAGUGAAAGACGGUUUUGCUGUCACUUAUCGAUUGAUCCGCGGGUCAUUAGCUAGUUGGUAAGGUAACGGCUUACCAAGGCGACGAUGCGUAGCCGACGUUAGCAGGUGAAGGGCGACACUGGAGCUGAGACACGGUACAGACACCGACGGACGGCAGAGGUAGCUAAGGUACCGAAAAGGGGGGAAUCUUGACGGAGCAAUGCAGGGCGAGUGAAGCAGGGCUUCGUGUCGUAUGACGCUGUUAGUGUUGAAGAACGAUUGUGUAAGUGACGAUGCACGUCUUGACGGUAGCUAGUAAAAAAGCCACGGCUAACUACGUG